AAACAGAUGGCAAAACAAAAAGGCAAACCAAAAGGAUGCAGAAAGAAAAUCACAGCAGAAAGAAGAAAUAAAGUCCAGUUUCCAGGUGCUCUUUCAUAUAUAGAUGGAGCUGAUGGCUGCGGAGAGAUAUCCAAGGAGAAGGGCUACAGGAAAGUACAGUCUAGCAGCCCUGAGGACAGCAUAAAUCAUUACUUCAGUUCCUCUACACUUUGUCUGGAUUUUCCCUUGUUUGAGGGAAAACUAUUUUUAAGGUUCUCAAAGGAGGAGCGGGUGACAAUAGACUAUUCCUUCAUUGUUUUGUUUGCUAUCUAGUUCUAGUUUCUGCCACAGCUGUUUUUUCAUGCUUUUUCUAUUUACUUUUCCUGUUUACUAGAUGUUAUUUCAACAUGUUUCUUUGUUCUGUUUUUGGGACAAUUUCUCUUAAACCUGAGCUUCCCUCAGAACAGCGGGAGCAGCUGCGGCAGAGCCCAGCAGCAUCUGGCUGCUCGAAUAUUCACCCAUCUUCUCAGCAAGAGUUUGAAGGAGCUGUCACCCUGGAUCAGAGCUGAGGUGAUUCAUUGGUUUAAUCCUACUGGAGCCAGAAGUAACAUUCACAUAAGAAUUUCAAUUAAAACUCAGAAGAGAUAACUGGAAGUCUUACUGGAAGAUAUGCUGAAGCCAAAACCAGGUUAUUGUGUUCAGUACAAGGAUAGCUGAGUGGAAUCAGAUGGCAUAUUCUUGAAGAAUGGGCUACAUGAAGAGACCAUUUUUUCAGUUCAUUUGUCCUACAUGCAGAAGAACAAAGUCCCCAGGAGCAGGACAGACCAGCUUUCAUGACAAUGCCACAGAGUUCUCUUCAAGACAAUGGCAAGAUGUUGCAGCUGAGGAUGAUUCGCUCCAAACAACCUUUUCCACAAGCAGCAGCAAGAGUCAUCAACCAGAAACUAGAAGACAGAGGUACGCAAGGCAGCUAAAUACUUCAGAAUCAUUGAAAUUUAAGUUUGGAUUACACUGAAAAUCCAGAGCCCUUGCUAACCAUGACUCCAAAUGCCUCACUAGAAACCCACAAAUAAAACCAAGGACAGAAGAGAGCAAACGACCCAACAUGCAGAAGAGGCAAAGGUUGAUCUUUAUUUGUUUGCAGUCAACUGCUUUUGCAAAAACAGUGCAGGGGUGCUGCAGGCCUGGCAGGAGGUGAAGCUGAACAAAAGUGUACCUGGCCCAUGUCCCCAAGGCAGGCACAGAACUGAUGCCUUGAGCCAUGCGAGGGCAGCACAGCUGUACAGUCAUGAAGCAGCAGCUCAUGCCUCUCGUGUACCCUGACAGCAAACCAGCACUCUGGAAGAGAAAAAAGGUGCCUCAUCACUACAUGAUCCAUGGCAGAUGUGUUUCAGCCCAUGUGGAGACAAAAAUGUUGUCUGAGAAGAAAGCUACAUCUUUCAACACAGCAGGAGAUAAAAUAAGACGUUAACAGGCUCCUUACUUCAGCUACCCAGCAACUAGAAAGGAUUAGAUCUUCUCUGAAAAUCUUCCUGAUAGCAGCACCUGCUGAGAUUUGGAAAUUCCUGUCUUUUAGCUCAUUAAAAUGCAGACACAGCCUGAUUCUCCUUCCUGAAUUACAGUUGCAGUACAAAGAGGCCAAUCUCACAGCCUUUAACUGUGUACACAAUCUUCUUGCUGAAACUGAGUUUGAUUAACAACUUCAGAACCAAUUCACAGGGGCUAAAAUUCAACCUGAAAUAAUUGCGGAGAUAGAGAACCCUUGAAGCUCCCUUGCCUGAUAGAGAGAAAUGAAGGGGUCUCCACAAAUGAGUAGAAGAUUGUGCAGGUGGAACAUCGGUGCUAAAACUGUCCUUUGUGAUUGACGCUAUAAAGGUUGCUGCAUGAGUGAUCUCAGAGUUUCACAGAAGGGCAAUAAUAUAUGAGUGCCUGAGCACUACUUCAGCCUGUCUGAAGGCAACCUUCCAGCUUAUGUUACUCAGGAAUUUGGACUAUGUGAUCACAGCUGCCCCUCUGCUCUUAAAAAUCCAGGAAAUCUGCUUCAACUAGAACGUUAAUAUUCUUCCAACUGUUUUUUGAUUGUAAAUGUGACUAUAUGGUUUGUGAAGUGAGAAUUGGUUCGGUUAUGAGAAUCACUCCAUAUGAACAAUCUGAUACAGGAGCCACAUGAAUGCUAUUAGUAGCAUCUCCAUCCUUGGGGAUAGUCAGUAAUUGAAAAGAGAAGGUUCUGAGCAACUUGAUGCAAACACAGAGUUGAUUUUCUAUUAGAAAUACCUCCCCAGCUCCCUCACAAUCCAAGUUAUUCAGGAUUUUAUGAUUCUCUUGCCUAGACUAUUAGGACUUUUGCUGUUGUAUUAUUUAAGUGGAUACAUGGUCUGUUAAAAAUAAA